GGGAGAAACCAUAUCCUGCAAAAAGGGAAACAUGAGAAAAAUGUGCAGGAAGUUUAAAAUAGCUCAAUAUAUUGGGGAACUGCAUUGGUCAUAUGGCAUAGGUUUGUUUGCAGAAGUGAACAUUCAGGAACAAGUCUUCACAGGGAGAAGUCUGAAGUCAGUCAGCCCAGCCAGUGUCCUUGAGGUGCAGGGACCAAGACUAUGUCAGGGUGACUUUCCUGUCACACACAGAAUCAUCUCUACCUUCUGCUCAGAAGGCUUCAAUGGCUCAUCAUCUUCUACGCUGGAGGUCGUGAAGGCAUGGAUUGUAUGGUCUCUGUAGUAGCUACUUAACUUUGCCAUUGUUGGGCAACAACAGCCAUAGACAAUACAUAAAUGAGUCAAGUUCUACUUGUCCUUUAGGACUCAAUUCUCAGAAGACUCCCUCUUCCUGAAGCCUUCUCUGAGCCACCAGUGGCUGGGUUGGAUAUCUCUCC
rnacentral:lncRNA from 1 species